GAAGGGCCCAAGCGUUGCGCAGAAUCACUGGGCUUAAAGGGUGCGUAGGCGGACCCGCAAGUGCUUUGUGAAAUCCCACGGGCUCAACCGUGGAAUGGCUUGGCAUACUGCGGGUCUUGAGGUCGGCAGAGGUCGCCGGAACUCUAGGUGUAGCGGUGAAAUGCGUAGAUAUCUAGAGGAACGCCCAAGGCGAAGGCAGGCGGCUGGGCCGAUUCUGACGCUGAGGCACGAAAGCGUGGGUAGCGAACGGGAUUAGAUACCCCGGUAGUCCACGCCCUAAACGAUGUGCACUAGAUCGUGGUGGCUCUGACGCCGGCACGGCCGAAGCAAAAGUAAUAAGUGCACCGCCUGGGGAGUACGGUCGCAAAGGCUA
rnacentral:rRNA from 1 species